rnacentral:rRNA from 1 species
AGCGAACGCUGGCGGCAGGCCUAACACAUGCAAGUCGAACGAACCCUUCGGGGUUAGUGGCGGACGGGUGAGUAACACGUGGGAACGUGCCUUUAGGUUCGGAAUAACUCAGGGGAACUUGUGCUAAUACCGAAUGUGCCCUUCGGGGGAAAGAUUUAUCGCCUUUAGAGCGGCCCGCGUCUGAUUAGCUAGUUGGUGAGGUAAUGGCUCACCAAGGCUACGAUCAGUAGCUGGUCUGAGAGGAUGACCAGCCACAUUGGGACUGAGAAACGGCCCAAACUCCUACGGGAGGCAGCAGCGGGGAAUCUUGCGCAAUGGGCGAAAGCCUGACGCAGCCAUGCCGCGUGGAUGAUUAAGGUCUUAGGAUUGUAAAAUCCUUUCACCGGUGAAGAUAAUGACUGUAGCCGGAGAAGAAGCCCCGGCUAACUUCGUGCCAGCAGCCGCUGUAAAAC